CAGCAGCCACGGUAAUACAGAGGGUGCGAGCGUUAAUCGGAUUUACUGGGCGUAAAGCGUGCGUAGGCGGCUAAUUGAGUCGGAUGUGAAAUCCCCGAGCUUAACUUGGGAAUUGCAUUCGAUACUGGUUAGCUAGAGUGUGGGAGAGGAUGGUAGAAUUCCAGGUGUAGCGGUGAAAUGCGUAGAGAUCUGGAGGAAUACCGAUGGCGAAGGCAGCCAUCUGGCCUAACACUGACGCUGAGGUACGAAAGCAUGGGGAGCAAACAGGAUUAGAGACCCGUGUAGUCCCUGUCUCUUAUAC
rnacentral:rRNA from 1 species